rnacentral:rRNA from 1 species
CGAGCGAGUAACGCGUGCCUAACCCUGCCCUUAAGAUGGGAAUAACUACGGAGACGUAGCUAAGUCCCAAUAUGCUCACGAUGGUGAAAUGCCGAUGCGAGGAAAGAUUUAUCGCUUAAGGAGGGGGGUGCGGUCCUAUCAGGUAGUUGGGUUGAGGUAACGGCGUCACCAAGCCUAUGACAGGUAGCUGGUCUGAGAUGAUGUCCAGCCGCGAUGGGACUGAGAUACGGCCCAUACUCCUACGGGAGGCAGCAGUGGGGAAUCUUGCACAAUGGACGAAAGUCUGAUGCAGCGAUCCCGCGUGAAGGAUGAAGCAUUACGGUGUGUAAACUUCUUUUUUGGUGGAAGACGAAUGACGGUACACCAAGAAUAAGAGACGGCUAACUACGUGCCAGCCGCUGC